GGGGAAUAUUGGACAAUGGGGGAAACCCUGAUCCAGCGAUGCCGCGUGAGUGAAGAAGGCCUUCGGGUUGUAAAGCUCUUUCACCUGAGACGAUAAUGACGGUAUCAGGAGAAGAAGCACCGGCUAACUCUGUGCCAGCAGCCGCGGUAAUACAGAGGGUGCUAGCGUUGUUCGGAAUGACUGGGCGUAAAGGGCGCGUAGGCGGCUUUUUAAGUCAGGCGUGAAAGCCCCGGGCUCAACCUGGGAAUAGCGUUUGAUACUGGAAGGCUUGAGUGCGGAAGAGGAGAGUGGAAUUCCUAGUGUAGAAGUGAAAUUCGUAGAUAUUAGGAGGAACACCGGAGGCGAAGGCGGCUCUCUGGUCCGCAACUGACGCUGAGGCGCGAAAGCGUGGGGAGCAAAC
rnacentral:rRNA from 1 species